rnacentral:tRNA from 1 species
GGCAUUUAACGGCAGACCAUGCCAUUGUUUAUUAUGAUAAAUAUAUGAUUUCACUAAGAUAUACUUGAUACUCAUAAUCCCCGGGUCGCUGGUUCAAGUCCAGCAAGGGCCACCA